AGAGUUUGAUCAUGGCUCAGGACGAACGCUGGCGGCGUGCUUAACACAUGCAAGUCGAACGGUGAAGGAGGAGCUUGCUCCUCCGGAUCAGUGGCGAACGGGUGAGUAACACGUGAGUAACCUGCCCUUGACUCUGGGAUAAGCGUUGGAAACGACGUCUAAUACCGGAUACGACCUCUGAAGGCAUCUUCUGGAGGUGGAAAGAAUUUCGGUCAAGGAUGGACUCGCGGCCUAUCAGCUAGUUGGUGAGGUAACGGCUCACCAAGGCGACGACGGGUAGCCGGCCUGAGAGGGUGACCGGCCACACUGGGACUGAGACACGGCCCAGACUCCUACGGGAGGCAGCAGUGGGGAAUAUUGCACAAUGGGCGCAAGCCUGAUGCAGCAACGCCGCGUGAGGGAUGACGGCCUUCGGGUUGUAAACCUCUUUUAGCAGGGAAGAAGCGAAAGUGACGGUACCUGCAGAAAAAGCACCGGCUAACUACGUGCCAGCAGCCGCGGUAAUACGUAGGGUGCAAGCGUUGUCCGGAAUUAUUGGGCUUAAAGAGCUCGUAGGCGGUUUGUCGCGUCUGCUGUGAAAACCCGAGGCUCAACCUCGGGCCUGCAGUGGGUACGGGCAAACUAGAGUGCGGUAGGGGAGAUUGGAAUUCCUGGUGUAGCGGUGGAAUGCGCAGAUAUCAGGAGGAACACCGAUGGCGAAGGCAGAUCUCUGGGCCGUAACUGACGCUGAGGAGCGAAAGCGUGGGGAGCGAACAGGAUUAGAUACCCUAGUAGUCC
rnacentral:rRNA from 1 species